rnacentral:lncRNA from 1 species
AUUGGAGAGAAAAUACAGUUCCCCACCGCCCCCGCCACCCCUUAUCUGGCUAUAACUAGACGAAUACGAAAUCAUCAAACAAUGUUUUAAAGACCUCGGAGUCACUGGCUGGUUCACCACUGGACACUGAAAUUAAAGUGACAGAGCUCUUUGGCCAAGAUCCAUUCUAUUUGUGAACAAUAGAAGAACAACAGUGAGUGAUAUUAACCACUGGGCUUCAGUCAUUCCAGGAUGGAAGAAUGAAAAUAUUGAUGGAGAAAUAAGAGAAAUUUGUUUCAGGU